GAUGAACGCUGGCGGCGUGCCUAAUACAUGCAAGUCGAGCGAACAGACGAGGAGCUUGCUCCUCUGACGUUAGCGGCGGACGGGUGAGUAACACGUGGAUAACCUACCUAUAAGACUGGGAUAACUUCGGGAAACCGAAGCUAAUACCGGAUAAUAUAUUGAACCGCAUGGUUCAAUAGUGAAAGACGGUUUUGCUGUCACUUAUAGAUGGAUCCGCGCCGCAUUAGCUAGUUGGUAAGGUAACGGCUUACCAAGGCAACGAUGCGUAGCCGACCUGAGAGGGUGAUCGGCCACACUGGAACUGAGACACGGUCCAGACUCCUACGGGAGGCAGCAGUAGGGAAUCUUCCGCAAAGGGCGAAAGCCUGACGGAGCAACGCCGCGUGAGUGAUGAAGGUCUUCGGAUCGUAAAACUCUGUUAUUAUGGAAGAACAAAUGUGUAAGUAACUAUGCACGUCUUGACGGUACCUAAUCAGAAAGCCACGGCUAACUACGUG
rnacentral:rRNA from 1 species